rnacentral:rRNA from 1 species
CCAAUAGCGUAUAUUAAAGUUGUUGCAGUUAAAAAGCUCGUAGUUGAAUUUCGGGAUCAGUACGCUGGUCGUGCCUUCGGUAUGUACUGGUGUUACUGGUUCCUACCUUCUGACGAACCGUCAUGUCAUUAAUUUGGUGUGGCGGGGAAUCAGGACUGUUACUUUGAAAAAAUUAGAGUGUUUAAAGCAGGCUCGCGCUUGAAUACAUUAGCAUGGAAUAAUGAAAUAGGACGUUCGAUCCUAUUUUGUUGGUUUCUAGGAUUGACGUAAUGAUUAAUAGGGAUAGUUGGGGGCAUUAGUAUUCAAUUGUCAGAGGUGAAAUUCUUGGAUUUAUUGAAGACUAACUACUGCGAAAGCAUUUGCCAAGGAUGUUUUCAUUAAUCAAGAACGAAAGUUAGGGGAUCGAAGACGAUCAGAUACCGUCGUAGUCUUAACCAUAAACUAUGCCGACUAGGGAUCGGAUGAUGUUAAUUUUUUAAUGACUCAUUCGGCGCCUUAC